GCCCUCGUAGCUCAGUUGGAUAGAGCAACGGAUUUCUAAUCCGUAGGUCCAAGGUUCGAAUCCUUGCGGGGGUG
rnacentral:tRNA from 1 species